UACGUAGGCAGCAAGCGUUGUUCGGAGUUACUGGGCGUAAAGAGUGUGUAGGCGGUUCGCUAAGUUUGGUGUGAAAUCUCCCGCUUAACUGGGAGGGUGCGCCGAAAACUGGUGGGCUAGAGUGUGGGAGAGGGAAGCGGAAUUCCUGGUGUAGCGGUGAAAUGCGUAGAUAUCAGGAGGAACACCGGUGGCGAAGGCGGCAUCCUGGACCAACACUGACACUGAGGAGCGAAAGCCAGGGGAGCAAACGGG
rnacentral:rRNA from 1 species